AAAGACGACCAGCCGAGGAUGGCUGGCGGAGGCGUGGGGCAGGCCGCAGGACCCUCGAAGGAUCGUGUGAGACCCCGGGCAGCCUCUUGGGAGGCCAUUUCGAGGAGAAAACCUUGAUUUCUGCCUCAGGACCCUGGGCCUCAGUUUUCCUAUCUGAGAAGAAGGGCGAAGAGCUGUGCCCCCGACCACACCCGUCGGUGAUGGGGCAAACCGAGGGCAAGCAGAGGAGCGCUUCACUUUUGGUCAUCCCUUGGGCCACCAGGGCCUUCCCGUCUCCGUCUUCCCAUCGCAGGUCCUGGCCUCCUUCACACCACUCCAGGAUACCGCAGCAUCUCCCCCAGCGCAGCAGACGGAGGGCGCUUCACAUGCCCCCGGACCUAAGCCCACUCUCCCCUUCAAGAUCUGGACUCCACUUUUUUGCAACACUCUUAACUUCUUUGGAAGCUGGGAAGCCUCCUACUCCCUUGGGCCUCUCCACCCUGCCCUCAGCUAACUCGUCGGCAAGCCCCAGCCUAGACAUUGCCUGUUUUGUGAAGACAUCUAGAUGCUGGGCUGUCUGUUGAGUGCCCCACCCUGUGUUUGAGCAGCACCCUCUACUUCCCCUGUUCUACUUGCAUGUUUAUGUGCUCGUCUUCCUCAUUAUAAGAUCCACAGGGGAGGGGCCAUGUCUAUAUUAUUCAUACUUACAGUCCAGUGUCUAGUAUCUGGCACGUAGUAGGCACUCACUAGCUAUUGAGAUAUAAAUAUAGAUAUUUGUUGAAUUGAAAAUGAAUUGGGCCGGGCGUGGUGGCUCACGCCUGUAAUCCCAGAACUUUGGGAGGCCGAGGCAGGUGGAUCACUAGGUCAGGAGUUCGAGACAAGUCUGACCAAAAUGGUGAAACCCAGUCUCUACUAAAAAUACAAAAAUUAGCUGGGCGUGGUGGCACGUGCCUGUAAUCCCAGCUAUUCAGGAGGCUGAGGCGGGAGAAUCGCUUGAACCCCGGGAGGUGGAGGUUGCAGUGAGUCGAGAUUGCACCACUACACUCCAGCCUGGACAACAGAGUGAGACCCUGUCUCAAAAAA
ensembl:lncRNA novel transcript